rnacentral:rRNA from 1 species
AUUGAACGCUGGCGGCAUGCCUUACACAUGCAAGUCGAACGGCAGCACGGGUGCUUGCACCUGGUGGCGAGUGGCGAACCGGUGAGUAAUACAUCGGAACAUGUCCUGUAGUGGGGGAUAGCCCGGCGAAAGCCGGAUUAAUACCGCAUACGAUCUACGGAUGAAAGCGGGGGACCUUCGGGCCUCGCGCUAUAGGGUUGGCCGAUGGCUGAUUAGCUAGUUGGUGGGGUAAAGGCCUACCAAGGCGACGAUCAGUAGCUGGCCUGAGAGGACGACCAGCCACACUGGGACUGAGACACGGCCCAGACUCCUACGGGAGGCAGCAGUGGGGAAUUUUGGACAAUGGGCGAAAGCCUGAUCCAGCAAUGCCGCGUGUGUGAAGAAGGCCUUCGGGUUGUAAAGCACUUUUGUCCGGAAAGAAAUCCUUGGCCCUAAUACGGUCGGGGGAUGACGGUACCGGAAGAAUAAGCACCGGCUAACUACGUG